AUUGAACGCUGGCGGCAUGCCUAACACAUGCAAGUCGAACGGAGGUAGGGGCAACUCUACUUCAGUGGCGGACGGGUGAGGAAUGCGUCGGAAUCUACCCUAUGGUGGGGGAUAACACAGGGAAACUUGUGCUAAUACCGCAUAAUGUCGAGAGACCAAAGCAGGGGACCGCAAGGCCUUGCGCGAUAGGAUGAGCCGACGCCCGAUUAGCUAGUUGGUAGGGUAAAGGCCUACCAAGGCGACGAUCGGUAGCUGGUCUGAGAGGAUGAUCAGCCACACUGGGACUGAGACACGGCCCAGACUCCUACGGGAGGCAGCAGUGGGGAAUAUUGGACAAUGGGCGCAAGCCUGAUCCAGCAAUGCCGCGUGUGUGAAGAAGGCCUGCGGGUUGUAAAGCACUUUUGUUCGGGAAGAAAUCAUGCUGGUUAAUACCUGGUAUGGAUGACGGUACCGAAAGAAUAAGCACCGGCUAACUUCGUGCCAGCAGCCGG
rnacentral:rRNA from 1 species